AUGCUUGACUCGUCCCUCAACACCAAGCUCGGGGACUUCGGCUUGGCCCGGCUCAUCGACCAUGGCGCCGGGUUAACGCAGACCACCAAGGCCGUGCUCGGCACCGUCGGCUACAUCGACCCGGAGUUCGUCAACACACGCCGGCCCAGUACCGAGUCCGACGUGUACAGCUUCGGCGUCGUCCUCCUGGAGGUCGCUUCCGGCCGGCGGCCGGUGAUCGAGACGGCGGAGAGGUCCUUCACGCUGCUCAGCUGGGUGUGGGGCCUGUACGGGAGGGACGCGAUCCUUGACGCGGCGGACGAGCGGCUGAGGGGCGACGAGGCGGACGAGCGGUGGAUGGAGCGGGUGCUGGUCGUCGGGCUCUGGUGCGCGCAGCCGGACCAGAGCGAGCGGCCGUCCGUGGCGCAGGCCAUGCACGUCCUGCAGUCCGACGAGGCGAGGCUGCCGGCGCUCCCGCAGCACAUGUACAGGGCUGCGCCGAGUCUUGCAUCGUCCGUCCCGUACGGGUCUUUCUCCGUUGACAGCUCCGGCUCCGGUUGUGUUCGCUCUUCUUCGGUCUGCACCGGCAACACCACUGCUUCCUCCGAGUCGUCCUCCACCGCGCUGCUACGACAUUCCAAGGAUCAAGCUAAUUGA
rnacentral:rRNA from 1 species